rnacentral:lncRNA from 1 species
GAACAGAUCACAGAUGUAACCAAAAAUCAAAACUAAAAUCACUUCUGAAGUCGAGGAUGCACUUCUCAUGGUGUGAACUUUAAAAGGUCAAAAAGUAAAUAUGUCCUUAUUUGGAAAAUAAGACAUGUUUCUUGUGAGGAAUAUUGGCCGAUCCACAGCCAGAAAUCUCAGCACCUGGUAAAAAUGUGUGUUUCGUGGGGCAUCUGGUCUCUCGUGGUUGUCUGGGUGAAGGAGUCUGUCCCCAACCUGUCGUGGGUAGACUCGUGGGCUGGGGUGGGACCCCUUUUUGCUCUCAG